ACACAUUCCAGCCAAUCAGCAGCAGACCCUCCCUCCCAGACCCUCCCACCUCCUGGACAGCAUCCAUUUUGAAGCUGAAUUCUUAGUGAGCUGUCCAGGAGGUGGGAGGGUCUGGGAGGGAGGGUCUGCUGCUGACUGGAGUCUGUGG